rnacentral:ncRNA from 1 species
AGUUAAGUGAGAAAGCGUACAGGGCGGAUGCCUUGGCAAUCAGAGGCGAAGAAGGACGUGCUAAUCUGCGAAAAGCUUGGAUGAGUUGAUAAGAAGCGUUUAAUCCAAGAUAUCCGAAUGGGGAAACCCGAUGGAUGAAGAAUCCAUCAUUGUUUAAUGAAUACAUAGUUAAACGAGGCAAACCGGGAGAACUGAAACAUCUAAGUACCCCGAGGAAAAGAAAUCAACCGAGAUUCCGUGAGUAGCGGCGAGCGAAAGUGGAGGAGCCAUCAAAUGUUAUCUCAACGAUGAGGAGAAUCAACUGGGAAGUUGAAUCAUAGAGGGUGAUAAUCCCGUAUCUGAAGAUUGUUGAGAAGAACUAAGUUUGAGAGAAGUAGGGCGGGACACGAGAAAUCCUGUUUGAAGAAGGGGGGACCAUCCUCCAAGGCUAAAUACUCCUGAUUGACCGAUAGUGAACCAGUACCGUGAGGGAAAGGCGAAAAGAACCCCGGCGAGGGGAGUGAAAUAGAACCUGAAACCCUGUACGUACAAGCAGUGGGAGCCUGAAAGGGUGACUGCGUACCUUUUGUAUAAUGGGUCAGCGACUUAUAUUUUGUAGCGAGGUUAACCGAAUAGGGUAGCCGAAGGGAAACCGAGUCUUAACUGGGCGAUUAGUUGCAAGGUAUAGACCCGAAACCCGGUGAUCUAGCCAUGGGCAGGUUGAAGGUUGGGUAACACUAACUGGAGGACCGAACCGACUAAUGUUGAAAAAUUAGCGGAUGACUUGUGGCUGGGGGUGAAAGGCCAAUCAAACCGGGAGAUAGCUGGUUCUCCCCGAAAUCUAUUUAGGUAGAGCCUUGAGCGGACACCUUCGGGGGUAGAGCACUGUUUCGGCUAGGGGGCCAUCCCGGCUUACCAACCCGAUGCAAACUGCGAAUACCGAAGAGUGAUACUCAGGAGACACACGGCGGGUGCUAACGUCCGUCGUGGAGAGGGAAACAACCCAGACCGCCAGCUAAGGUCCCAAAGU